UUAUAAAGCCUUUCCAACCUUUUUCUCUUUGUUGUCUCUCUCUUCCAUCUCUCUGAUUUCUCAAACCCAUCUUCCACCUUUCUCUGUUUUUACAAUGUCUUCUCUCUCUCUUACUACAUCAUCUCUUUCUAUUUCUCUUCUUUCAUAUUGUUUCAAUCUUUCUAUUUCUCUUUUUCUCUCUUCUCUUUCUAUCCGACGACUGAGUCUUCUACCUCAACCUUCCCCUUCUUUUUCUUCCCCACCUUCAUUCUGUAAUAACAUCAUCACCAUCCUCUUCUAACUCUUUUGUGGUUUGUUUUUCAGGUUAUAGACGGAUCGAGUUUUGCCGGUGAAUUUUGAAGCUAAAAAAGUUAUAGGUUGGAUCCGAUUUUACCGGUGAGGGAUCUGAAAUUGAAACCACGGGAACAUCAGAUCUGAAAUUGAAAUCACCGAAUCUGAUAUCAAAACCACCAGAUUUGAAAUCAACUCUCAUCUUCUUCAUACUUACAAGGAUUAUAAAAUGGAACAAUGGAAUGGAAGGAUGGUAUCCAAAUUCAAGAGGUAUCAAGAAGAUUAUGAUUUUGACAUCAAAAGUAUUUGUUAUAUUGUAAUCAAUUAUAGAUUAAUUCAAAAUGGAUAUUUGUUCUUUAUGUUAAUGCAACUUUUAUUAUUAUUC